rnacentral:tRNA from 1 species
CUCGGUGUAGUUUACUAAGAAAACACUCCUUUUUCAAAGGAGCAAUAGGUUUACAUUCCUUUCCGAGU